UGGAUGUUAAUUUUUGUCUUAGUUGUCUGAAAAAGUUUGGAUGGGUUUGGAAGUCUGUGUAAGUGGAUGAGAGAGUGGGUAGUUGGGAUUGGGUUAAUAGGAGAUUAUACCUAAAAUUGAGGGAUUAUGGGAUUUUUUAUUGUAAUUUUUAAUUUUUAUUAUUUUUCUCCCUCUUCCCAAAUAUUUUCUGACGUCAAUUCUGCUUUCCUCCUCUGUCUGACGUUUUUCUUUUUUCCCUUCUCUGUAUUUUUUGUUUUUGCGGUUCUCCUUUAAUUUUGUUCACCCUUUUUGCUUUCUUCUCAUUGUAAUCCAGAAUUUCAGUGUUUUAUGUGCAGUUGGGUAAGUAGGGAUUUCACUUGUCUGUAGGUUUCGAUUUCUGUAAGUUGUUGGGUUUAUUCUUUUCAUUUGAAUUUCUAAAUGGUGUGAAGUAAGGGAGAUUGAUUUUCUAUGAUGUAUUGAGUAGGAGUAGUUGGUGAACCUGGGAAUUUCGCUCCAACAGCAUAAACCGCAAUAGGGGUAGUUCUUAUCGCGUUAAGUGUGUUUGCGCGAUUCGAUUUUACAAUGUUA
rnacentral:lncRNA from 1 species